rnacentral:rRNA from 1 species
UGACCUCAAAUCAGGUAGGACUACCCGCUGAACUUAAGCAUAUCAAUAAGCGGAGGAAAAGAAACUAACAAGGAUUCCCCUAGUAACUGCGAGUGAAGCGGGAAAAGCUCAAAUUUAAAAUCUGUCAGUCUUUUGGCUGUCCGAGUUGUAAUCUAGAGAAGUGUUAUCCGCGCUGGACCGUGUACAAGUCUCCUGGAAUGGAGCGUCGUAGAGGGUGAGAAUCCCGUCUUUGACACGGACUGCCAGGGCUUUGUGAUGCGCUCUCAAAGAGUCGAGUUGUUUGGGAAUGCAGCUCAAAAUGGGUGGUAAAUUCCAUCUAAAGCUAAAUAUUGGCGAGAGACCGAUAGCGAACAAGUACCGUGAGGGAAAGAUGAAAAGAACUUUGGAAAGAGAGUUAAACAGUACGUGAAAUUGCUGAAAGGGAAACGCUUGAAGUCAGUCGCGUUGACCGGGGAUCAACCCUUGCUUUUGCUGGGUGUACUUUCUGGUUGAUGGGUCAGCAUCAAUUUUGACCAUUGGAAAAAGAUUAGGGGAAUGUGGCAUCUUUGGAUGUGUUAUAGCCUCUGGUUGCAUACAAUGGUUGAGAUUGAGGAACUCAGCACGCCGCAAGGCCGGGUUUUUAACCACGUACGUGCUUAGGA